CUUAGGAUAUAUACAAUCAAUAUGAGUGAUUAUGUGAAGGGAAAAUGGGGUCUUUGAUAUUUUAUGGCUCGAUUUUAUAAUAACAGUUGGUUAUUUUAGAUAUUUCGACAGUCGAACAUUGUUCGAUAGUGAGUUGCUUGACGUAGAGGUAGCAUAAUGCGGGUGUGUGUGGUACUGUUGGUAUUGUCGGUGCUGAUCGCCGUAGUUUUAUCUCAACACGGCCACGAUCAUGGUUCCCAUGGAUCACAUGGAUCACAUGGCUCUAGUGGUUCCUUAAUUAGGGGCGGAGGACGUCGUGGUGGUCGUCGAGGUAUUAGCGGGGGUUCUCGCAGACUUGGGGGAUCCAUUCGUCUUGGCGGACGCCGUGGUCGAAAUGGAAGACUAAGAAAUAGAGGCUUGUACGGUACUGGAUCUGGUCUUUUAUUAAUUGGAGGUCAUGAUAAUUACGGCUACGGUUAUAGAUCAGGUGUUGGACUUUUAGAGAGAAGAAGACUACGGGCGAGAGAGAGGAGGUUAAACAGGAGAUUAAGGAGACUAAUUAGAAAUAAUGCAUAUGAUACUUAUGAUAACUACAACCACAUACACUACUAAAUAACAUAUUUGUACUGCAAUGUCUAUUAAACAUACAUUAUGCAAGAGCUAAAUCUGCCUAUUGCAAGUCUUUAUUUAGGCUUCAGAUGUUACAGAAAUUAUUAAUUAGAUCUUUAUUUACACAACGAGCUUAAAAUCAACCCUGUAGACCCACGGAUGGCUUGGGUAUAGUUUGAAUUAAAACAGCCUCGUCCAUUUAAAAUUAAAUCAAUAAAUGGCGGACAAGCUAACGUUUACCGUUACUCGCUGAUGUCACAACCGGAAACUGGCGAUGAAAAGCCUGCCAAGCGAGGCUACUGACUGUACUGCAAUGUCUUGUAACUUGAUAAAUAUCAAUAAAAUCCAUUCUGGCUGUAUAACAGUAUUUAGUAAUGUAAUAAAUAUAUGAAAAGUU